UACGUAGGAGGCAAGCGUUGUCCGGAAUUACUGGGCGUAAAGCGCGUGUAGGUGGUGGGACAAGUCUGCUGUGAAAGCGCCUGGCUUAACCGGGCGAGGUCGGCGGAAACUGUUCGACUCGAGGACGGUAGAGGGGGGUGGAAUUCCCGGUGUAGUGGUGAAAUGCGUAGAUAUCGGGAGGAACACCUGUGGCGAAAGCGGCUCACUGGACCACAACUGACGCUGAGGCGCGAAAGCUAGGGGAGCAAACAGGG
rnacentral:rRNA from 1 species